AGCGAACGCUGGCGGCAGGCCUAACACAUGCAAGUCGAACGAACUCUUCGGAGUUAGUGGCGGACGGGUGAGUAACACGUGGGAACGUGCCUUUUGGUUCGGAAUAACUCAGGGAAACUUGUGCUAAUACCGAAUGUGCCCUUCGGGGGAAAGAUUUAUCGCCAUUAGAGCGGCCCGCGUCUGAUUAGCUAGUUGGUGAGGUAACGGCUCACCAAGGCGACGAUCAGUAGCUGGUCUGAGAGGAUGACCAGCCACACUGGGACUGAGACACGGCCCAGACUCCUACGGGAGGCAGCAGUGGGGAAUCUUGCGCAAUGGGCGAAAGCCUGACACAGCCAUGCCGCGUGAAUGAUGGAGGUCUUAGGAUUGUAAAAUUCUUUCACCGGGGACGAUAAUGACGGUACCCGGAGAAGAAGCCCCGGCUAACUUCGUG
rnacentral:rRNA from 1 species